rnacentral:tRNA from 1 species
GGAGAGGUGGCAGAGCUGGCCGAAUGCACCAGUCUUGAAAACUGACGGCGGUUUACCCCGCCCGAGGGUUCGAAUCCCUCCCUCUCCGCCA